rnacentral:rRNA from 1 species
UUUUUUUGUUCUUUUUGGGGAUUAAAGUCGUAAUAAGUUGUCCGUUGGGAACCAGCGGAGGGAUCAUUACAGAGUUGAAAAACUCCCCAAACCCAUGUGAACUUACCACCUUGAUUGCCUCGGCGUGUUGCUGCACUUUUGUGUGGCGGCCGCCGGUGGACUUCUAAACUCUUGUUAUUUUGAGUCAUCUGAGCGUCUUAUGUAAAUAAGUCAAAACCUUUAACAACGGAUCUCUUGGUUCUGGCAUCGAUGAAGAACGCAGCGAAAUGCGAUAAGUAAUGUGAAUUGCAGAAUUCAGUGAAUCAUCGAAUCUUUGAACGCACAUUGCGCCCAUUAGUAUUCUAGUGGGCAUGCCUGUUCGAGCGUCAUUUCGACCCUUAAGCCUAGCUUAGUGUUGGGAGUCUACCCUGUAGCUACCCUGUAGCUACCCUGUAGUUCCUCAAAUCGAACGGCGGAGUUGUGACAUCCUCUGAGCGUAGUAGCUUUUAUCUCGCUUUUGUAGGUGUUGCGGCCCCUGCCGGAAAACCCUUAUUUUUAAUGGUUUGACCUCGGAUCAGGUAGGAAUACCCGCUGAACUUAAGCAUAUCAAUAAGCGGAGGAAAAGAAACCAACAGGGAUUGCCCUAGUAACGGCGAGUGAAGCGGCAACAGCUCAAAUUUGAAAUCUGGCCUUCGGGUCCGAGUUGUAAUUUGUAGAGGAUGCUUUUGGUGCGGUACCUCCCAAGUUCCCUGGAACGGGACGCCUUAGAGGGUGAGAGCCCCGUACGGUUGGAUACCAAUCCUUUGUAAAGCUCCUUCGACGAGUCGAGUAGUUUGGGAAUGCUGCUCAAAAUGGGAGGUAAACUUCUCCUAAAGCUAAAUACCGGGCCAGAGACCGAUAGCGCACAAGUAGAGUGAUCGAAAGAUGAAAAGCACUUUGAAAAAGAGGGUUAAAUAGUACGUGAAAUUGUUAAAGGGGGAAGCGUUUACGACCAGACUUUUUUCCAGGCGGAUCAUCUGGUGUUCUCACCGGUGCACUUCGCCUGGUUUAAGGCCAGCAUCGGUUUUCCGUGGGGGGAUAAAAGCUUGGGGAAUGUAGCUCCCUCCGGGAGUGUUAUAGCCCCUUGUAUAAUACCCCCGCGGGGACCGAGGUACGCGCUCUGCAGAUGCGCGAUCGGGAAAGGUCCUAACCAACCCCUGUAAAAACCGGCCAAA